AUUGAACGCUGGCGGCAUGCCUUACACAUGCAAGUCGAACGGCAGCAUGAUCUAGCUUGCUAGAUUGAUGGCGAGUGGCGAACGGGUGAGUAAUACAUCGGAACGUGCCCUGUAGUGGGGGAUAACUAGUCGAAAGAUUAGCUAAUACCGCAUACGACCUGAGGGUGAAAGUGGGGGACCGCAAGGCCUCAUGCUAUAGUAGCGGCCGAUGUCUGAUUAGCUAGUUGGUGAGGUAAAGGCUCACCAAGGCGACGAUCAGUAGCUGGUCGGAGAGGACGAUCGGCCACACUGGGACUGAGACACGGCCCAGACUCCUGCGAGAGGCAGCAGUGGGGAAUUUUGGACAAUGGGCGAGAGCCUGAUCCAGCAAUGCCGCGUGUGUGAAGAAGGCCUUCGGGUUGUAAAGCACUCUUGUCCGGAAAGAAAUGGCUCUGGUUAAUACCUGGGGUCGAUGACGGUACCGGAAGAAUAAGGACCGGCUAACUACGUG
rnacentral:rRNA from 1 species